UACAGAGGGGGCGAGCGUUAUUCGGAAUUAUUGGGCGUAAAGGGCGCGUAGGCGGCCGUGUAAGCGAAAGGUGAAAUCCCUCGGCUCAACCGAGGAACUGCCCUUCGAACUGCUUGGCUUGAGUCCGGGAGAGGUGAGUGGAAUUCCCAGUGUAGCGGUGAAAUGCGUAGAUAUUGGGAGGAACACCAGUGGCGAAGGCGGCUCACUGGACCGGAACUGACGCUGAGGCGCGAAAGCGUGGGGAGCAAACAGG
rnacentral:rRNA from 1 species